UACGAAGGGGGCGAGCGUUGUUCGGAAUUACUGGGCGUAAAGGGCGCGCAGGCGGCUCUGAAAGUCAGAUGUGAAAGCCUCGGGCUUAACCUGAGAACUGCAUUUGAUACUCUGGAGCUUGAGUACGGGAGAGGAUAGUGGAAUUCCCAGUGUAGAGGUGAAAUUCGUAGAUAUUGGGAAGAACACCGGUGGCGAAGGCAGCCCCCUGGGCUGACACUGACGCUCAGGCACGAAAGCGUGGGGAGCAAACAGG
rnacentral:rRNA from 1 species